UGGCACAAUUUAUUUUUUGGAUCUCAGGCUUUCUUAUACAUUAACACAGCAAAGUAACUGAGAGCCUGUUUAGAUCUUCCCAUAAUCAGGGAAAUUGAGCUUGUGUGUGAGAUAAGUGUCUUGUUUUAAAUGAAUGAAUUUCUUAAGCAGCAGCCCUGACUUGGGCAGGCUACAUUCAUAAAUAAAAAGCCUUAUUUAUUCCUUUUCUAAUUUUUCCAACAAAAGUUAUGGCUUUUAGCCCACCACCACUACCAAAACGCAUCACAGAGCCUACCACAUGUCACUGCAGCAAUCCGAGAGCUCACCAAUCUGGCUGCAACUCAAAGAAUCAUCCUGACUCCUUCCCAGCUACAGACCAUCAAGCAAAGUUUCUGCUGUGUUGUUUGUAUGAAGUUCAUCGAGGAGCCAGUCUUUACACAGUGUUGCCGAAGCAUUAUUGGCUGCAAAACAUGUGUGGAACAGUGGCAGGAGACCUCUGUGUACUGUGCAAAAUGUAGAGGGAACACCACAGGCAACAACAUAUUUGAGGUUAAUGGUUUGUCAGAAGCAUUUUCUGUUCUGAGAUCUCUUUUUGAAGAGGAGUAGCAUUUUGCACUUUUAUACUCACAAAUAGGCAUGUUGUAUUUGACUUUGUUUUAUUGAUUCAAAAAUUGAGUUGUAAUGUUAAUUUAUUCAUAUGUUUAGGCUGGUUGAUGUGAUUGGUGUUCAUUGUUCUUGUUACAAAUUUACAUUCUGUUCAAAUAGAGCAAUCUGCUUUUCACACAUAGCGCUGAGUUGUGGUCAUAAGACAGAGCAAUGCCUGUUUGUACGGAGCCAAGCCAUUGUUCACUGCUCUAGAGAACAAGUCUGAAAUGUCUGAAUAUUGCUCAGCAAACUGAUUCUCAACUCUAAGUUUGUCCUGUUAAGUUGAAAAUGGAUCAACUCCAAAAGUUGAAUGUGUGGUCAGUGAGGAUCCCAGCUGUUGGCUGUAAAGGUCUGCUGCAUCAACUGAAUGAGGCAGCAGCUCCUGUGGGAUUUUAUUGGGACAUCCACAGCCAGCCAAAUCAUUUGGUACACCUUUACCUGUAAAAUAAAGAACAGACUGUUGGUCUUAACUUAUGAA